rnacentral:lncRNA from 1 species
CAUUAUUUGAUCAACUGACAAAGCAAAGCUGCGUCAUAAAAUACGGCUUAAGGAUCUGGGCGAGAGAUCAAGGACUCGCUGGAAACACCACUGCGACUUCUCUCUCCAGCCUUGGAGUUCCGUGUCCGUACCUGAACUACAACAACCCUCCCUUGAUCAGUGGUUUUCUACACCCAUGUGAGGAUUCUAACCAGGAAGAAUUUGCCAGGUGUUUGGUUUGCCACACACUAUGAGGAAAGGCCGCGUGCUUCAACAGCGGGUUGAUUCCCUUCCACCAGCAGAGGCUAGAAAUGAAAACCCCAGCCACCUGCGCCCAAACUUGCUCCCUUUGGACUCGCGGCAGCCUCACCACGGUCCGCGGCAGCCUGCAAAUUCGGAGACGGCCGUGCGGGGGCGCACGAGAGACGUGGCGAGUCCCUGGUCUCCGUAAUCCCAGGCUGGCGCCAGCAGGGGAACAGGAAAAAAAAGUUCUUUUAGCUGAGUCUUCAGUGGGAAACCAGAUGGUUGGGAGUCCAGACUGCAGCUGAAGUUUGCAUGACCUCCAAAGUGGGCAGAACCUCAGAAUGUUGGUGCUCCCAGCAGGCCAUGUUGUUAGCAGUACAGGACCGUAAACAUCACCCUUGCAGCUAGCUGUUGGUGGUUUGGUCCUGACUAUGACCACGUUCCACUGCCUUGAGAUCUCCACUUUUCCAUUACCUGGAUUGGAUCCGUUUGCCUGGCCCUUGACACUGAGCAGUCAGCCUCCCUCUGAAUCUUGCAAGUCCCACACCCAGGACCGCAGACCCUUCACCUCAGUACAGCCCCCUGAGCUUCGGAAUUCUGGAGAUCAUCAGCGGUUCGCUGCGCAGCGAGGACCAGGGAGGAGUGGCUCAUUUAGCAAGUCUGCUCACCCCCGCCUUCCCUCGUUCCCCACAAGGGCCCAGCACGUACCAGCCAUCAGUCUAGGGACAGUAUAGAUACAUCAGUGCACAAGAAAGGUAAGAUUCUUGUCCCGAUAGUCUAUAUCCUAGUGGGGAAGUGGAAGAGACACAUUCCAAGAAAACACGAAAUUGAGUUGAAUGGAUUCGCUGAG